UUUGCUUGGUUACUAAUUUCAUUUUAUUUGUUAUUAAGCAAAUUCUCUUGACUUCUGGAUGUUCUGUCAUAGGAAACGAGUGUACAUUGUGAAUGCAUAGGAAUCUCUGGCCUGCAGCCUUGGGUGCUUUGAAAGCCAACGUUGGGGCAUUGCUUGGUGCAGAGGUGAAUGUUCAGGGUGCUGAGUGUGAGAACGAAGGUUCAAAAUUGAGAGUAGCCACUUUAUAAAAAUAAUGCUGAAGAUAAUUUCUUUUCUUUGGCAGAAAAGGCAGAUUCUCAUGUUGCAGAGAGAAUACCCUCCGUAAGAGAAAAUGCUAAAAUGUUACUGAUCAGGUUUAUAUUUUUCUCAAUGUUAAAAGAUACAUUUAAAAACCCAAAUAUUUCUACUACUAUUUGGAUUCAAUACAUGUCAACUCUCAAUCAAAAGUGAAUUUGGUUAUACUGUUUUUGUGAAUCAUCAAGUUCUCGAAUACAUUUAUCCUAAAUGAUACCAUUUUCCAAGUGAAUUUUAUCUUAAUCUGUUUGACAAUGACUUGAAAUGCAACUUUCUUUAACAGAUUAAGUUGUGGGAAUCGGAUAUGAAAGGUUGGGAUGAUACCAGCUCAUCUUUAUGAUGAGUUCUGGGGUAAAAAUCAAACUCAUCUCACUAUGCAUUCGCAAUGUACACUUGAAGAAAUCAUUUUAUGUGUGUAAUUUGCAAGAAGGGAAUUGAACACCUGAAGAAAUCAUUUUAUCUUUUACCUGAUAAAGUAGCUAAGACUUUAGAGAAUAGUUAUUGAAAUCACAAAGUUUGGUCCUUUACUUGUGUCUUUCUUUAUUUGUUUCUUCUAGUUGAAUAUAAUAUGCUUCAUUGAAAUUUGAACCCUUGUAUAUGCAGAUAAUUUAUUUGCUUGAGCAGAACGCCCAAUUUCUUUUCUUCAAUGGAAUGCAUAGCCUCGUGUUGCAGACAGAAUACCCUCUGUACCAGCAAAUGUUACUAAUCGGGCUGUGAGAAUUGGAUAUGAUUUGCUAGCUCAUCUUUUUGAUGAAUUCCCCCUCGGGUAAAAAUCAAACUCAUCUCCACUACAAUUGCAUUUCGUGUAUCUUACUUUCAAUCUUUUAUCAACUUAUGGAUUUGUUUCCUUAUAUUGCAGGAUGUUUU